rnacentral:rRNA from 1 species
UACGGAGGUUGCGAGCGUUGUUCGGAAUGACUGGGCGUAAAGGGAGCGCAGGCGGUUCGGUUUGUCCGGCGUGAAAGCCCGGGGCUCAACCCCGGCGGGCCGUCGGAAACGGCCGAACUGGAGUACGGAAGAGGAGAGCGGAAUUCCGGGUGUAGCGGUGAAAUGCGUAGAUAUCCGGAGGAACACCGGUGGCGAAAGCGGCUCUCUGGUCCGAUACUGACGCUCAGGCUCGAAAGCGUGGGGAGCAAAC